CAAGCAGGCUGCUAUUACAGUACUGCUUUCUGUGGAAGUGCUGUCAUUACCCUGCUGAGAGCAACAUUCAAACUUGGAGUCAGAAAGGGCUUGUCAGUUCUCUGUUGACAAGCCCAGCUACUCCUUUGGAAACAUCU